GACAACGCUGGCGGCGUGCUUAACACAUGCAAGUCGAACGGUACGAGGAGCUUGCUCCUCUGAUCAGUGGCGAACGGGUGAGUAACACGUGAGCAACCUGCCCCAGACUCUGGGAUAACAGUUGGAAACAGCUGCUAAUACCGGAUACGAGACGGAGAGGCAUCUCUACCGUCUGGAAAGUUUUUCGGUCUGGGAUGGACUCGCGGCCUAUCAGCUAGUUGGUGAGGUAAUGGCUCACCAAGGCGACGACGGGUAGCCGGCCUGAGAGGGCGACCGGCCACACUGGGACUGAGACACGGCCCAGACUCCUACGGGAGGCAGCAGUGGGGAAUAUUGCACAAUGGGCGAAAGCCUGAUGCAGCGACGCCGCGUGAGGGAUGACGGCCUUCGGGUUGUAAACCUCUUUCAGCAGGGAAGAAGCGAAAGUGACGGUACCUGCAGAAGAAGCACCGGCUAACUACGUG
rnacentral:rRNA from 1 species